UACGUAGGGUGCAAGCGUUGUCCGGAAUUAUUGGGCGUAAAGAGCUCGUAGGCGGUCUGUCGCGUCGGCUGUGAAAUCCCGAGGCUCAACCUCGGGUCUGCAGUCGAUACGGGCAAACUGGAGUGUUGCAGGGGAGACUGGAAUUCCUGGUGUAGCGGUGAAAUGCGCAGAUAUCAGGAGGAACACCGGUGGCGAAGGCGGGUCUCUGGGCAACAACUGACGCUGAGGAGCGAAAGCGUGGGGAGCAAACAGG
rnacentral:rRNA from 1 species